rnacentral:misc_RNA from 1 species
GGAAGUAAAAGGUAACAAGGGCUCCGUAGAUGAACCUGCGGAGGGAUCAUUACAGAGUUCAUGCCCUACCGGGUAGAUCUCCCACCCUAUGUUAUUAUUACUUUGUUGCUUUGGCGGGCCGUUAGGCUCCGGCCCGACUACCGGCCCCGGCUGGUAAGCGCCCGCCAGAGGACCCAAAACCCUGAGUAUUAGCGUCGUCUGAGUACUAUAUAAUAGUUAAAACUUUCAACAACGGAUCUCUUGGUUCUG